AGCAACGUUGAAAGCGCGCCCGCUGCAC
rnacentral:sRNA from 1 species